AACACGGACCAAGGAGUCUAACAUGUACGCGAGUCAUUGAGACUGUAAAACUCAAAGGCGUAAUGAAAGUGAAGAUUCGAUUGCGAAUUUGAGGAGAGAUCCCGGCUCUGUGUGGCAUUCCGAAAGGUUUGCUGUGCAGGGUGGGCGCAUCUCCGGGACGUCUAUACCUCUGAAGGUGGGGCGUACCUAGAGCGUACACGUUGGGACCCGAAAGAUGGUGA
rnacentral:rRNA from 1 species